rnacentral:rRNA from 1 species
AACGAACGCUGGCGGCAUGCCUAACACUUGCAAGUCGAACGAGACCUUCGGGUCUAGUGGCGCACGGGUGCGUAACGCGUGGGAACCUGCCCUUAGGUUCGGAAUAACUCCCCGAAAGGGGUGCUAAUACCGGAUAAUGUCUUCGGACCAAAGAUUUAUCGCCUUUGGAUGGGCCCGCGUUGGAUUAGCUAGUUGGUAGGGUAAAAGCCUACCAAGGCGACGAUCCAUAGCUGGUCUGAGAGGAUGAUCAGCCACACUGGGACUGAGACACGGCCCAGACUCCUACGGGAGGCAGCAGUGGGGAAUAUUGGACAAUGGGCGAAAGCCUGAUCCAGCAAUGCCGCGUGAGUGAUGAAGGCCUUAGGGUUGUAAAGCUCUUUUACCCGGGAUGAUAAUGACAGUACCGGGAGAAUAAGCUCCGGCUAACUCCGUG